rnacentral:tRNA from 1 species
GGGCCCGUAGCUCAGGUGGAUAGAGCAGCGGUUUCCUAAACCGCGUGUCGCCGGUUCAACUCCGGCCGGGCCCUCCA